UUUGCGGACAGGUGUGAUGCGGCAGGCGGGCAGGUGUGUCUGCGGGCAGGUGUGAUGGGGCGGCGGGCAGGUGUGACUGUGCAGACAGGUGUGAUGGGGCAGGCGGGCAGGUGUGACUGUGCAGACAGGUGUGAUGCGGCAGCAGGGGCAGGUGUGACUUUGCGGACAGGUGUGAUGCGGCAGGCGGGCAGGUGUGACUGUGCUGGCAGGUGUGAUGGGGCAGCGGGGGCAGGUGUGACUUUGCGGACAGGUGUGAUGCGGCAGGCGGGCAGGUGUGACUGCGGGCAGGUGUGAUGGGGUGGCGGGCAGGUGUGACUGUGCGGACAGGUGUGAUGCGGCAGGCAGGCAGGUGUGACUGCGGGCAGGUGUGAUGGGGCGGCGGGCAGGUGUGACUGUGCAGACAGGUGUGAUGGGGCAGGCGGGCAGGUGUGACUGCAGACAGGUGUGAUGCGGCAGGCGGGCAGGUGUGACUGCGGGCAGGUGUGAUGGGGCAGCGGGGGCAGGUGUGACUGUGCAGACAGGUGUGAUGGGGCGGUGGGCAGGUGUGACUGUGCGGGCAGGUGUGAUGGGGCGGUGGGCAGGUGUGACUGUGUGGGCAGGUGUGAUGGGGCGGUGGGCAGGUGUGACUGCGGGCAGGUGUGAUGGGGCGGCGGGCAGGCCAUCGUAAUGCACUCCCCUUUGCUACAUACUCUCAUUGGUUCAGUGUCUCGUUCCUCCAGGUGGGCCUGCAUCUGUCACCCCCAAUCCGUGGAGACUGGCGCUUGGCAGGAGCACAGAGUUCUUCGAAGGGAUGAAGGAAUGGCACUGAGCUCCACAGGAAGUGAUGCAGUCAUGGCUGGAUUCCAGAGGCAUUUAUCUGGGCCAAGCAAGGGGAAGGGAGAUGUACCUGGCACUCUACCUGCACAUUUUUCUGAUGAUCCCUGGUGACUUCUAACGGUCUUGUCAGCCUCAGAAAGUCCUGUGUCCCUAGCGUGCACGCUCUCCUUUCUCCCAUUAUGCGGCCCAGUUUGCCAGGUCCGAGCUUGGCGUCCUUCCGCCGGGCCUGAAGGUGGCCACGCACAUCUGGAGUGUUGGUACGUGGCCCUCAGACGCGCCGGCUUGUGUGGACGGGAUCUCCUAAAAGGCAGACACUGGCCAGUUGUGCAGCUCCUGGAAGAGGCAGAUGCAGAGCAGCCUCCAGCAUGAAACGGCCUGUUGGGCUGUCCCGACCAGCCUGGUUCUGCUCGCCUAGAACUGCCCUCCCUGCGCAUCUGUCUCAACCCUCGUGUUCCUGCCCGGGGGAGAGCGUGGAGCCGGGGCCACAGCCCAGAUGACACAUGAGGCCUGACCGAGCCCUGGUGCUGGGUGGGCACCUGCCUUCCUCAGGCAGCAAGAUCAGUGCCCGUCAGAGCGGGGGCUCUCCAGACGGGGUGAGGGCGCUCCUGUUGGGUGGACGGGCAUCCCUCCGGAAACGUGGCUCGGCACCGCUGGCUCACACCCCCCGUAAAAGGGUUUGUUGCUAUUGUGAGCUGCCUUGCCGUUUCUGGGGGCACCGCGAGCGAGAUCAACCAGCAGGUGAUGGAGGGAUUUCAGGAUAGGACACAGAACGAGGCCUGUGCCUCUGUCCGGGGCCCCCUGGUCUCCCCACUCCUCGCUCACGUGGCCGGCGGAACGGCUGGGAUAGCCGACAAAGUCUGGUCAAGCUCUGCAGACACGCAGGGGAGGACUGAUAACCGUGGACAGUGAGCAGAAGGAGCCGUGUGCGGGCUGCAUCCAGGCCUUCUUUCUCUUUUUAAAAUGAACAUAUGUAUUUAUAGUGUAAUAUAUGCAAACAAAAUUUAAGUUCGUAUGUGUGUGGGUUUCGUAUUUAUACCUUUUUCUGUUGCUGAAAUGGAAAACCAUUGCUAAAUAUAUAUACAUACUUGUGUAAGUCAUAUAUAAGUGAUUUAUGUUCAGCAUAUUUCCUAAUAUUUUAUCUCUUUAAUAUA